rnacentral:rRNA from 1 species
AACGACAGGUCAGUAUGCCCCGAAUGUCCUGGGCUACACGCGCGCUACAAAGGACGGGACAAUGGGAAGCCAGGCCGAGAGGCCGAGCUAACCCGAAACCCGUUCGUAGUUCGGAUUGAGGGCUGUAACUCGCCCUCAUGAAGCUGGAUUCCGUAGUAAUCGUGUUUCAAAAUAGCACGGUGAAUAUGCCCCUGCUCCUU